GUUCCUUCAAGGUAUGUUAUUUUUUGUUGUUUAAAAUUUUGUGCUACCCGGGAGGAACUGAUGAGUUCAGAAUAUACUUAUCCAAAUAUUUCAGCUCGACGUCGACUUUGCUACAUUAUCUCGAUUUGUGUUGCAUGCCACUUUGAACUUCUACCUAGGCAAUGUGUGGCAAGCCGCGCUUUACAUUGGUUCAACCAGCCCUCUCAUCAAGUAUUAUGUUUGUGGGAUGAAUAAGACACUGGUCACUCCUGGACUAAGGAUGCACUUCUCCUGCCACUUAACAAAAAAUAAUCAGAAGAACCAUCUCAAUGAACCAGUCGAGGACAUGAUGGUUAGUCUCAGCGCUGGAGAUGUUACGAGACAGGUUUGGCGCAUAAGAGGAACACACACAAAAAGCAAUUUGUCAGACUUUGUCAAGGCGGGAGGGAUCAGAGAGUAUCAAAUGUGUUUCUUCGCCUUCAAAAUUGAAAGGGGGAAACCAUCGCUCACUCUCCAUAAUAAGCUUUAAAAAACUAAGGUAGGAAAUCACAAGUCUAUACAGAAAUCAUUUUAUGCCAUGUAUUUCCCGGACUAUUUGCAUCGGGUUCAUGUGAAGUACCGCAUAUGAGGUUGAUCGACAAGGCAAUUGAAUGGAGCUACUUUUCAGUAUGACUAAUAACUAUAGCUUCGUAGAUUUAACAUCUAUAUUGUCAUUGUGUCUGCCUUUUUCUUCUUUAUUAUGUUCCAACUCUUUGUAAUUGCUCUCAUGUUCACGCUCGUAGUACUGAGCUUAAUGUAAAGUGAUGAUCUUUUGUGGUCCCUUGAACUCAAUAAACUUGAUGUUGCCUUAUAA